rnacentral:sRNA from 1 species
UUUUAAUUGCGUUAGUGAUGGCAGCGGCAUCCUUUUGCAAAGACUUUUGCAAAAGAUUUAGCGAACAGCACGCCCUUUU